UAACACAUGCAAGUCGAGGGGUAACAUAGAGUGCUUGCACUUUGAUGACGACCGGCGCACGGGUGAGUAACGCGUAUACAAUCUGCCUCAUACUAGGGGAUAGCCCAGAGAAAUUUGGAUUAAUACCCUAUAGUAUCAUUUAGAGUCAUCUCUUUAUGAUUAAAGGUUACGGUAUGAGAUGAGUAUGCGUUCUAUUAGUUAGUAGGUGAGGUAACGGCUCACCUAGACCACGAUAGAUAGGGGCCCUGAGAGGGGGAUCCCCCACACUGGUACUGAGACACGGACCAGACUCCUACGGGAGGCAGCAGUGAGGAAUAUUAGACAAUGGGCGAAAGCCUGAUCUAGCCAUGCCGCGUGCAGGAUGACGGCCCUAUGGGUUGUAAACUGCUUUGUAUACAGGAAGAAAAAACUCUACGUGUAGAGUCUUGACGGUACUGUAAGAAUAAGGAUCGGCUAACUCCGUGCCAGCAGCCGCGGUAAUACGGAGGAUCCNAGCGUUAUCGGAAUUAUUGGGUUUAAGGGUCCGUAGGUGGACAAUUAAGUCAGAGGUGAAAUCCUGCAGCUCACUGUAGAAUUGCCUUUGAAACUGGUUGUCUUGAGUCAUUAUGAAGUGGUUAGAAUGUGUAGUGUAGCGGUGAAAUGCAUAGAUAUUACACAGAAUACCAAUUGCGAAGGCAGAUCACUAAUAAUGUACUGACACUGAUGGACGAAAGCGUGGGUAGCGAACAGGAUUAGAUACCCUGGUAGUCCACGCCGUAAACGAUGGUCACUAGCUGUUCGGACUUCGGUCUGAGUGGCUAAGCGAAAGUGAUAAGUGACCCACCUGGGGAGUACGUUCGCAAGAAUGAAACUCAAAGGAAUUGACGGGGGCCCGCACAAGCGGUGGAGCGUGUGGUUUAAUUCGAUGAUACGCGAGGAACCUUACCAGGGCUUAAUGUAGAGUGACAGGUCUAGAGAUAGAUUUUUCUUCGGACACUUUACAAGGUGCUGCAUGGUUGUCGUCAGCUCGUGCCGUGAGGUGUCAGGUUAAGUCCUAUAACGAGCGCAACCCCUGUUGUUAGUUGCCAGCGAGUAAUGUCGGGAACUCUAGCAAGACUGCCAGUGCAAACUGUGAGGAAGGUGGGGAUGACGUCAAAUCAUCACGGCCCUUACGUCCUGGGCUACACACGUGCUACAAUGGUAGGUACAGAGAGCAGCCAAUGCGUGAGCAUGAGCGAAUCUACAAAACCUAUCUCACCUCGCAUCGGAGUCUGCAACUCGACUCCGUGAAGCUGGAAUCGCUAGUAAUCGGAUAUCAGCCAUGAUCCGGUGAAUACGUUCCCGGGCCUUGUAGGGAAACGCCCGUCAAGCCAUGGAAGUUGGGAGUGCCUGAAGUCCGUCACCGCAAGGAGCGGCCU
rnacentral:rRNA from 1 species